CCUACGGGCGGCUGCAGUGGGGAAUAUUGGACAAUGGGCGCAAGCCUGAUCCAGCAAUACCGCGUGUGUGAAGAAGGCCUGAGGGUUGUAAAGCACUUUUCAUCGGGAGGAAUAGCGGUCGGUUAAUACCCGGUCGUCUGACAUUACCGAUAGAAAAAGCACCGGCUAACUCCGUGCCAGCAGCCGCGGUAAUACGGAGGGUGCAAGCGUUAAUCGAAAUUACUGGACGUAAAUGGUGCAUAGAGGGGUGAAAGCCCCGGGCUUAAACUGGGAACGGCAUUUGAAACUGAUCGACUAGAGUUGGGUAGAGGGGAGUGGAAUUUCAGGUGUAGCGGUGAAAUGCGUAGAUAUCUGAAGGAACACCAGUGGCGAAGGCGGCUCCCUGGACCCAAACUGACGCUGAGGCACGAAAGCGUGGGUAGCAAACAGGAUUAGAUACCCCUGUAGUC
rnacentral:rRNA from 1 species